rnacentral:rRNA from 1 species
AGCUCCAAGAGCGUAUAUUAAAGUUGUUGCAGUUAAAAAGCUCGUAGUUGGAUUUCUGGUACAAUGCGCCUAGCCCGCCGCGUUAUGCGUGUGAGUGCUGGUGCGCGUUUGCCAUCCUUCUAGAAAACGUUUCUACCCUUUACUGGGCCGGACUCGCGAUCUAGAUCUUUUACUUUGAAAAAAUUAGAGUGUUUAAAGCAGGCUAUUGCUAUGAAUACAUUAGCAUGGAAUAAUAAUCUAGGACUUCGGUUCUAUUUUGUUGGUUUCUAUAACUGAAGUAAUGAUUGAUAGGGAUAGUUGGGGGUGCUAGUAUUGGCCGGCCAGAGGUGAAAUUCUUGGAUUCGGUCAAGACUAACUUAUGCGAAAGCAUUCACCAAGGAUGUCUUCUUUAAUCAAGAAC